CACUGGUUGGAAAAUACUGAGUUAGGUAACAUCUCCCUGACGAAGGAAGCCGUGCUUCUGAAAUGUGUUUGAGGUAUCUUUGAUCUAAUCCUGUACCGUAGUGAUGUCACGACAUCGGUCUCCAGCAAACCGUGAACCGGGGCUACCACGGUAGAGAACGCCACCGGCCGGGGUGUACUCCCGCAAUCCCCAACUAGGAUCUUCGGUAAAAGGAUACGCACUCUCCGCAACAUCUCAAAACAAGCGGAAGUGCGGGCAUCACCGCCAAGAAAAACAAUCACACAAAAACGCAAGCAAAACGCAAGUUAAAUCUUUAAAGUGAUUGCACUAUAAGUCCAAUAUUCUGCGCACAUCCAUAGGUAUAUGUUUAUAAGUGAACUAGACAUCUAUCCUGUACGUCUCAGUUAGAUCUGCUCGUAUCUAAAUGGACAUUCUUUGACUUGUAGUGCCACCAGCCAACAAGGAUUUCACCACCAAUAAUAUACUAAUACAGCUAAAUUCCUGGAACACGCUGGAACCCAUAUAAAUAAGCAUACCUACAGUGCACCCUAAAGAACAACUUAAAGAAUAACCCUGCAAACAAUUAUACCACACUUACAGUUUGAUCUUCUUCUUUUAGCCAGCCAAUCAGAAAGCAGCACUACUCAAAUAGAACUCCCGUGAGGUCACACAUGUGAUGUCAUAACCUUUGUCAUCAGUGAGGGGCCUAAACUGUAGGAACCUAGGAAUACACAUUCAUACCCGCCUGUGACUGGUAAGUAUCACAUCUUUUUGGUCUUUAGUGCAGUUCCAUGUGCAUUUCUAUAAUAAACAUGUAACUAAUCUCUCUUUUCUUUUCCUAUCUUAGAUGCACACCUUCCAGGCUGUGGGGCAGCACAUACACGGACACAUUGGCCCAAAUUCUAGAGGUAACCUCCUUUAGUAUGCCCAGAGGAAGGGCAGUACAGUAGCCAUGGAUUCCCUACAGGUUUCCUCCCCUCUGGAGGUUUUUCCUGUCCUGAGUUAGUUACUGUCCGCUCUUUGUGAGUGAUGGAGGUUACAUAAAAUCCCUACACAAACAUUUUACUAAAUAAUAAAUAAAGUUCCCCUUUGUUUAAACUGUU